rnacentral:sRNA from 1 species
UAUCAUAUGUAUGAUUGAGUAUAAGAACUUAAACCGCAACCGGAUCUUAAAGGCGUAAGAAUUGUAUCCUUGUUAGAAGACACAAAGCCAAAGACUCAUAUGGACUUUGGCUACACCAUGAAAGCUU